GAUGAACGCUGGCGGCGUGCCUAAUACAUGCAAGUCGAGCGAACGGACGAGAAGCUUGCUUCUCUGAUGUUAGCGGCGGACGGGUGAGUAACACGUGGAUAACCUACCUAUAAGACUAGGAUAACUUCGGGAAACCGGAGCUAAUACCGGAUGAUAUUUUGAACCGCAUGGUUCAAAAGUGAAAGACGGUCUUGCUGUCACUUAUAGAUGGAUCCGCGCUGCAUUAGCUAGUUGGUAAGGUAACGGCUUACCAAGGCAACGAUGCAUAGCCGACCUGAGAGGAUGAUCGGCCACACUGGAACUGAGACACGGUCCAGACUCCUACGGGAGGCAGCAGUAGGGAAUCUUCCGCAAUGGGCGAAAGCCUGACGGAGCAACGCCGCGUGAGUGAUGAAGGUCUUCGGAUCGUAAAACUCUGUUAUUAGGGAAGAACAUAUGUGUAAGUAACUGUGCACAUCUUGACGGUACCUAAUCAGAAAGCCACGGCUAACUACGUG
rnacentral:rRNA from 1 species